rnacentral:rRNA from 1 species
UGGGUGGAUCAGUGGCGAACGGGUGAGUAACACGUGAGCAAUCUGCCCCUGACUCUGGGAUAAGCGCUGGAAACGGCGUCUAAUACUGGAUACGAACCGUGGAGGCAUCUUCAACGGUUGGAAAGAUUUUUUGGUCAGGGAUGAGCUCGCGGCCUAUCAGCUUGUUGGUGAGGUAAUGGCUCACCAAGGCGUCGACGGGUAGCCGGCCUGAGAGGGUGACCGGCCACACUGGGACUGAGACACGGCCCAGACUCCUACGGGAGGCAGCAGUGGGGAAUAUUGCACAAUGGGCGAAAGCCUGAUGCAGCAACGCCGCGUGAGGGAUGACGGCCUUCGGGUUGUAAACCUCUUUUAGCAGGGAAGAAGCGAAAGUGACGGUACCUGCAGAAAAAGCGCCGGCUAACUACGUGCCAGCAGCCGCGGUAAUACGUAGGGCGCAAGCGUUAUCCGGAAUUAUUGGGCGUAAAGAGCUCGUAGGCGGUUUGUCGCGUCUGCUGUGAAAUCCCGAGGCUCAACUUCGGGUCUGCAGUGGGUACGGGCAGACUAGAGUGCGGUAGGGGAGAUUGGAAUUCCUGGUGUAGCGGUGGAAUGCGCAGAUAUCAGGAGGAACACCGAUGGCGAAGGCAGAUCUCUGGGCCGUAACUGACGCUGAGGAGCGAAAGGGUGGGGAGCAAACAGGCUUAGAUACCC